AAGCAUUAAUUUGUUUUUAUUAUUUAUUUUUUAUUUUAGCUAAAAUUUUUUUUUUGUUUAUUAUUUUUUUAAAAUAAAAUUAUUUUUUUAUAGUUUAUUUUACUGUUAAGGAAUUUUUUUUUUUUAAUUAAAAGAAGAUUUUUAUUUUGUACCUUUUGUAUCAGGGUUAAUUAAAUUAUUUAAUUUAUUUUAUUUUCUCGAAAAUUUAUGAUUUAAAAAUUUUUGUUUUUUAAUGUUUUAUAAUUAUAUAAAAAAAGUUUUUGGAUUUGAAAUGAAAUUAGUUUAAAUUAAUAUCUAGUUAACUAAGAAAUUAAUUUAAUUAAGGAUUUUUUUUUGAAAGUAAUUAUUUGUUUAUUUUUUAAAAAUUUCUAGUUUUAGUAAGGAUAAUCUUUCUAAAUUAUUAUAAUUUUUUAAAAAAUUAUUUUAUCUAGACUUAAAAUUUGUUUCGAUAUUAAUUUUGUAAAAAAUUAAAAUAAAUUUUUUAAUAUAUUUAUUUUUAUAUUAGUUUUUUAUUUAAAAUUUUUUAAAUUUUAAAAAUGAUUAAAUUAGUAAAAUUAAAAUUUUUUUUUAUGAAUUAGGCAAUUUAUUAUUUUUCACCUGUUUAACAAAAACAUGUCUUUUAGAUUUUAUUUAAAGUCAAUCCUGCUCAAUGAAUUUUAUUUAAAUAGCCGCGGUAUAUUAACUGUGCUAAGGUAGCAUAAUAAUUAGUCUUUUAAUUGAGGUCUGGAAUGAAUGGUAAAAUGAAAAAAUAACUUUAUUAAUUAAAUAUUUUUUGAAAUUUAUUUUUAAUUUAAAAAGAUUAAAUUUUUUAGAGUGACGAUAAGACCCUAUAGAUCUUAAAAAUUAAUUUAAUUUAUUUUUUUUUGUAGUUUUUGUUUAAAUUAAUAUUGUUUUUUUUGUUGGGGUGAUAAAUAAAAUUUUAAACUUUAUUUUUUUUUUACAAUUAUUUUUGGUUAAUUUGAUCUUUAAUUUUUGAUUAUAAUAUAAAGAUACCUUAGGGAUAACAGCGUAAUAAACUUGGAGAGUUCAAAUCUAUAAGUUUGUUUGCGACCUCGAUGUUGGAUUAAUUUAAAGUUGUGGGGUAGGUUUUACAAUUUUAGGUCUGUUCGACCUUUAAAAAAUUACAUGAUCUGAGUUCAGACCGGCGUGAGCCAGGUUGGUUUCUAUCUUCUUAAAAAUUUUAAUUAGUACGAAAGGACUUUUAAAAUGUAAAAUUUAUUUU
rnacentral:rRNA from 1 species